rnacentral:rRNA from 1 species
GCAUAUCAAUAAGCGGAGGAAAAGAAACCAACAGGGAUUGCCCUAGUAACGGCGAGUGAAGCGGCAACAGCUCAAAUUUGAAAUCUGGCCUUCGGGUCCGAGUUGUAAUUUGUAGAGGAUGCUUUUGGUGAGGUACCUUCCGAGUUCCCUGGAACGGGACGCCAUAGAGGGUGAGAGCCCCGUCUGGUUGGAUACCGAUCCUCUGUAAAGCUCCUUCGACGAGUCGAGUAGUUUGGGAAUGCUGCUCUAAAUGGGAGGUAUAUGUCUUCUAAAGCUAAAUAUUGGCCAGAGACCGAUAGCGCACAAGUAGAGUGAUCGAAAGAUGAAAAGCACUUUGAAAAGAGAGUUAAAAAGUACGUGAAAUUGUUGAAAGGGAAGCGCUCAUGACCAGACUUGGGCUUGGUUGAUCAUCCAGGGUUCUCCCUGGUGCACUCUUCCAGCCCAGGCCAGCAUCAGUUCGCUGUGGGGGAUAAAGGCUUCGGGAAUGUGGCUCCUCCGGGAGUGUUAUAGCCCGUUGCGUAAUACCCUGUGGUGGACUGAGGUUCGCGCAUCUGCAAGGAUGCUGGCGUAAUGGUCAUCAGCGACCCGUCUUGAAACACGGACCAAGGAGUCGUCUUCGUAUGCGAGUGUUCGGGUGUUAAACCCCUACGCGUAAUGAAAGUGAACGCAGGUGAGAGCUUCGGCGCAUCAUCGACCGAUCCUGAUGUUCUCGGAUGGAUUUGAGUAAGAGCAUACGGGGCCGGACCCGAAAGAAGGUGAACUAUGCCUGUAUAGGGUGAAGCCAGAGGAAACUCUGGUGGAGGCUCGCAGCGGUUCUGACGUGCAAAUCGAUCGUCAAAUAUGGGCAUGGGGGGCGAAAGACUAAUCGAACCUUCUAGUAGCUGGUUUCCGCCG